rnacentral:rRNA from 1 species
UGCCAGCCGCCGCGGUAAGACGGAGGGUGCUAGCGUUGUUCGGAUUUACUGGGCGUAAAGGGCGCGUAGGCGGCCGUUCAAGUCGGGUGUGAAAGCCCGGGGCUCAACCCCGGAACUGCAUUCGAAACUGAAUGGCUCGAGGACGAGAGAGGAAAGUGGAAUACCCAGUGUAGAGGUGAAAUUCGUAGAUAUUGGGUGGAACACCGGUGGCGAAAGCGGCUUUCUGGCUCGUUUCUGACGCUGAGGCGCGAAAGCGUGGGGAGCAAACAGGAUUAGAUA